rnacentral:ribozyme from 1 species
GGGUGCCCGCUCCUCGCAGGGAGGCGCGCGCU